GGGAAGUUAGCUCAAAGAGCUAGCUGCAAAAGCUCAGCCCAGACCACCAGCCAAUCGGCAUGGCAACAAUCACUAGAUAUCAUGCACUUAAGACAGAUCACUAAACAAGUGUCAAAUUAUUUCAAGUACAACAGUUCCUCACUGAAAGCACAUCAGAACGGCAGCUGCAGUUGCCCUUGUUCUCCCAAAUUACAACAAUGAGCAUCAGGAAAAACCAUCACCAGCCCAAAUAUUCCAAUAAAGCAGUUGCAUCUGCAAAUUCAUCAGCAUAAGGCAUCAGAAAGAUUUAAGUAGCCCAUGAAAAAACAACCAGCCAACAUCAUCAAACCAUGCAAGUCCUCCAAAAGCAGUCGCCAG
rnacentral:lncRNA from 1 species